GACGAACGCUGGCGGCGUGCCUAAUACAUGCAAGUAGAACGCUGAAGAGAGGAGCUUGCUCUUCUUGGAAGAGUUGCGAACGGGUGAGUAACGCGUAGGUAACCUGCCUUGUAGCGGGGGAUAACUAUUGGAAACGAUAGCUAAUACCGCAUAACAAUGGGUGACCCAUGUCAUUCAUUUGAAAGGGGCAACUGCUCCACUACAAGAUGGACCUGCGUUGUAUUAGCUAGUAGGUGAGGUAACGGCUCACCUAGGCGACGAUACAUAGCCGACCUGAGAGGGUGAUCGGCCACACUGGGACUGAGACACGGCCCAGACUCCUACGGGAGGCAGCAGUAGGGAAUCUUCGGCAAUGGGGGCAACCCUGACCGAGCAACGCCGCGUGAGUGAAGAAGGUUUUCGGAUCGUAAAGCUCUGUUGUAAGUCAAGAACGAGUGUGAGAGUGGAAAGUUCACACUGUGACGGUAGCUUACCAGAAAGGGACGGCUAACUACGUGCCAGCAGCCGCGGUAAUACGUAGGUCCCGAGCGUUGUCCGGAUUUAUUGGGCGUAAAGCGAGCGCAGGCGGUUUGAUAAGUCUGAAGUUAAAGGCUGUGGCUCAACCAUAGUUCGCUUUGGAAACUGUCAAACUUGAGUGCAGAAGGGGAGAGUGGAAUUCCAUGUGUAGCGGUGAAAUGCGUAGAUAUAUGGAGGAACACCGGUGGCGAAAGCNGCUCUCUGGUCUGUAACUGACGCUGAGGCUCGAAAGCGUGGGGAGCGAACAGG
rnacentral:rRNA from 1 species